rnacentral:rRNA from 1 species
AUUGAACGCUGGCGGCAUGCUUUACACAUGCAAGUCGAACGGCAGCGCGGGCUUCGGCCUGGCGGCGAGUGGCGAACGGGUGAGUAGUGCAUCGGAACGUGCCCAUUAGUGGGGGAUAGCCCGGCGACAGCCGGAUUAAUACCGCAUACGACCUGAGGGUGAAAGCGGGGGACCGAAAGGCCUCGCGCUAUUGGAGCGGCCGAUGUCGGAUUAGCUAGUUGGUGGGGUAAAGGCUUACCAAGGCGACGAUCCGUAGCUGGUCUGAGAGGACGACCAGCCACACUGGGACUGAGACACGGCCCAGACUCCUACGGGAGGCAGCAGUGGGGAAUUUUGGACAAUGGGGGCAACCCUGAUCCAGCCAUGCCGCGUGCGGGAAGAAGGCCUUCGGGUUGUAAACCGCUUUUGUUCGGGAAGAAAUCCUCUGGGCUAAUACCCCGGGGGGAUGACGGUACCGGAAGAAUAAGCACCGGCUAACUACGUG